rnacentral:tRNA from 1 species
CGGCCCAGAAAUUACCAAACUGCAAAUUUGGAGAAGAAUUUCGGUUCCUGGGUCU